CGAGUUCCUCAUUACCGUACAGCUUUAACAUUUCUUCUGUCAGCAGUUUGGCAUGGUGUUUACCCUGGUAUUAUUUUACUUUUAUCACUGGUAUCUUUAUGACACUAGCAGCCAGAACAAUAAGAAAAAAUUAUCGUCACUACUUCAUCUCUCCAAAGCCUCUCAAGAUGAGCUAUGACAUUGCCACAUGGUUGGUAACUCAGCUAGCUGUCUGCUAUACUGUUGCACCAUUUGUUUUCUUAACUGUGGAGUCUACAAUUAAAUUCUACAACUGAUUAGAUCUUCAAAACACAUCAAAAAGUGGCAGCUUUCAUGUCAAGGCACAAAUAACUUUGAAGUCAACAGGAAGCAGAAAUGAUCUUUCAAAGGGAAAUUACUGAUCCUCCUCAGUUGGAAAGUGGAAGAAGCAGUACAAAGAACUCAUCAUUAUUGUUGUUGCAUUUAAAACAUUUUAUAAAGGACAGAAGAAAACUAAUGAUUUUAUAGUUAAGUCUUGUUACUGGAUAAUGUUUAUAUCCUUUAAUGGAAGAGAUGAUCGCUUUUAUAUAUGUGUGUGUUACAGAAAAUGUUUUAAUGGAAUUUUUCUGAUGGAUUUAAAUUUUUGCACAUGUUUUUCAUCCCCUAAUGUCUGUCUUAAUGAGCCAGUACUUUUGAGAUGAAGGAAAAAUUAAUUUACUGGGUUAGUACUCCAAAGGCUUUGUCAGUCUCCCUACAUCCCAACUUCAUGAACUGGUUAAAAACAACUUGUAUAUCUAUAAUGCCUCCAAUGGAGGAUUGCAGAAUAUUAUGACUGCCCUCCUUAUUGCACUAAAAAGAGGUAAGAGUUUGUGACUGACAGCGAACAGGAAAGAACAUCAGUGUAUCUGCAGCAAGCAGGGUGAGACUUCUGAAGGAAAAUGUUUGUGAACUGUUAAUCAAUAGGAAAUAGGAAAAAACAGCUGAAUGGUUGGGGGAAAUAACCAUCAGAAAAUAAGGUGAUUAUGGAACAUGGAAUACCUAUGGUUUCCCAUAUUGUUAACAGUAUAGAUUGUUCUUGAAGUGAGAAAAUAAUGAGUCCUUGGCAGUUUGAAAGAGAAUCAACUGCUAUGCCAAACCUUCCUUCAUGUUUUGCCUGUAUACUCAGCAUGGGCGAUUCCCUCCUUUUUCAAACUUCAUAAUGUUUGGCUGACACUCCACAUCUAUUUGAUUUUGCCUGCAUUGAUAGUUCCAUGACAUUAUUUGUUAUAUAAAGACAAAUUAAGAGCCAGUGUAGCAUAGUAGUUUGAGUGUUGGACUAUGACUCUGGAGACCAGGGUUCGAUUCCCUGCUUGACCAUGAAACCCACUGGGUGGCCUUGGUCAAGACACGUGCUCUCAGGGGAAGGCAGUGGCAAACCACCUCUGAAUAAAUCUUGCCAAUAAAACCCCUCAAUUGGUUUCCCUAAGGGUCGCCAUAAGUCAGAAAUAAUUUGAAAGCACAACAACAAAUACAAAUUACUUGGGCACUUGAAAAGAACUCAGGGAGACUUUGCAUUAAGCACUUGACUUUUUCAAAAUAUGGUUCUUCAAACUUUCUGAAUUUAAAAAUAACGCUUCUAUAUUUUUAAAAUCUAAAUUAUUUUCCCCUGUUGAUUUUUUAAAAGUAAGAUAUCUUAUUGUAAAGGAAACAGGGCGAAUUAAAAGUAAUUCAACAGACCUGAAUCUAGCUUUGUAUAUUUACUUCCUUGUAACCUCCAUCCUGUUGCUCAUAAUCCUUCUGUUCAUGGAACAAAACCCAUUCUCUUCCAUUGACAUCUCCACUUUUUCUUUGGUUACAUAUUUGAGAACUUCAUUUUCUUCCUUGCUUUCACAUUUGCAGUUGAAAAAUACUGAAAUCAUAUGUAUGUUUGCAGGCAACAUCAAUAUUUUCGUAUUUAUUGUAAAUAAAAAAACCUAAAUAAAUAAAAUCAAUUAGUUCAGUAGAA